rnacentral:rRNA from 1 species
GUGAGGAAUAUUGCGCAAUGGAGGCAACUCUGACGCAGCCAUGCCGCGUGCAGGAAGAAGGCGCUACGCGUUGUAAACUGCUUUUAUCCGGGAAGAAACCCCAGGACGUGUCCUGGGUUGACGGUACCGGAGGAAUAAGCACCGGCUAACUUCGUGCCAGCAGCCGCGGUAAUACGAAGGGUGCAAGCGUUAUCCGGAUUCAUUGGGUUUAAAGGGUGCGUAGGCGGAGCGUUAAGUCAGUGGUGAAAUCCUGCAGCUCAACUGUAGACUUGCCAUUGAUACUGGCGCUCUUGAGUGCGCUUGAAGUGGGCGGAAUGUGCCGUGUAGCGGUGAAAUGCUUAGAUAUGGCACAGAACACCAAUUGCGAAGGCAGCUCACUAAGGCGAUACUGACGCUGAGGCACGAAAGCGUGGGGAUCGAACAGGAUUAGAUACCCCAGUAGUCC